rnacentral:rRNA from 1 species
AGAGUUUGAUCAUGGCUCAGGACGAACGCUGGCGGCGUGCUUAACACAUGCAAGUCGAGCGGAAAGGCCCUUUCGGGGGUACUCGAGCGGCGAACGGGUGAGUAACACGUGAGUAACCUGCCUCUGGCUUUGGGAUAACCCUCGGAAACGGGGGCUAAUACCGAAUAUUCAUUCUCGCAGGCAUCUGUGGGGUUGGAAAGUUUUUCGGCCAGGGAUGGGCUCGCGGCCUAUCAGCUAGUUGGUGAGGUAACGGCUCACCAAGGCUACGAUGUCUAGGGGUUCUGAGAGGAUGAUCCCCCACACUGGUACUGAGAUACGGACCAGACUCCUACGGGAGGCAGCAGUAGGGAAUAUUGGGCAAUGGACGAGAGUCUGACCCAGCCAUGCCGCGUGCAGGAAGAAGGCCUUCUGGGUUGUAAACUGCUUUUAUCAGGGAAGAAAACGCUCCUGCGGGAGUAACUGACGGUACCUGGUGAAUAAGCACCGGCUAACUCCGUGCCAGCAGCCGCGGUAAUACGGAGGGUGCAAGCGUUGUCCGGAUUUAUUGGGUUUAAAGGGUGCGUAGGCGGCUUAUUAAGUCAGUGGUGAAAGCCAACAGCUCAACUGUUGAACUGCCAUUGAUACUGAUAAGCUUGAGUACAGACGAGGUAGGCGGAAUUGAAGAUGUAGCGGUGAAAUGCAUAGAUAUCUUCAAGAACACCGAUUGCGUAGGCAGCUUACUAGGCUGUAACUGACGCUGAGGCACGAAAGCGUGGGGAGCGAACAGGAUUAGAUACCCCGGUAGUCC